rnacentral:rRNA from 1 species
GGCGAACGCUGGCGGCGUGCCUAAUACAUGCAAGUAGAACGCUGAAGAGAGGAGCUUGCUCUUCUUGGAUGAGUUGCGAACGGGUGAGUAACGCGUAGGUAACCUGCCUUGUAGCGGGGGAUAACUAUUGGAAACGAUAGCUAAUACCGCAUAACAAUGGAUGACACAUGUCAUUUAUUUGAAAGGGGCAAUUGCUCCACUACAAGAUGGACCUGCGUUGUAUUAGCUAGUAGGUGAGGUAACGGCUCACCUAGGCGACGAUACAUAGCCGACCUGAGAGGGUGAUCGGCCACACUGGGACUGAGACACGGCCCAGACUCCUACGGGAGGCAGCAGUAGGGAAUCUUCGGCAAUGGGGGCAACCCUGACCGAGCAACGCCGCGUGAGUGAAGAAGGUUUUCGGAUCGUAAAGCUCUGUUGUAAGUCAAGAACGAGUGUGAGAGUGGAAAGUUCACACUGUGACGGUAGCUUACCAGAAAGGGACGGCUAACUACGUGCCAGCAGCCGCGGUAAUACGUAGGUCCCGAGCGUUGUCCGGAUUUAUUGGGCGUAAAGCGAGCGCAGGCGGUUUGAUAAGUCUGAAGUUAAAGGCUGUGGCUCAACCAUAGUUCGCUUUGGAAACUGUCAAACUUGAGUGCAGAAGGGGAGAGUGGAAUUCCAUGUGUAGCGGUGAAAUGCGUAGAUAUAUGGAGGAACACCGGUGGCGAAAGCGGCUCUCUGGUCUGUAACUGACGCUGAGGCUCGAAAGCGUGGGGAGCGAACAGGAUUAGAUACCCUGGUAGUCCACGCCGUAAACGAUGAGUGCUAGGUGUUGGAUCCUUUCCGGGAUUCAGUGCCGCAGCUAACGCAUUAAGCACUCCGCCUGGGGAGUACGACCGCAAGGUUGAAACUCAAAGGAAUUGACGGGGGCCCGCACAAGCGGUGGAGCAUGUGGUUUAAUUCGAAGCAACGCGAAGAACCUUACCAGGUCUUGACAUCCCGAUGCUAUUUCUAGAGAUAGAAAGUUACUUCGGUACAUCGGUGACAGGUGGUGCAUGGUUGUCGUCAGCUCGUGUCGUGAGAUGUUGGGUUAAGUCCCGCAACGAGCGCAACCCCUAUUGUUAGUUGCCAUCAUUCAGUUGGGCACUCCAGCGAGACUGCCGGUAAUAAACCGGAGGAAGGUGGGGAUGACGUCAAAUCAUCAUGCCCCUUAUGACCUGGGCUACACACGUGCUACAAUGGUUGGUACAACGAGUUGCGAGUCGGUGACGGCAAGCUAAUCUCUUAAAGCCAAUCUCAGUUCGGAUUGUAGGCUGCAACUCGCCUACAUGAAGUCGGAAUCGCUAGUAAUCGCGGAUCAGCACGCCGCGGUGAAUACGUUCCCGGGCCU